GCAGUCUAUGUCAGACUUCCAAGAAAAGCUCGCAAUGUCAUAAACAAAGAAUGCCUGUACCAUAACCGACACAGGUGGGUAGGUAGAGUAUACUAAGGGGCGCGAGAUAACUCUCUCUAAGGAACUCGGCAAAAUGACUCCGUAACUUCGGGAGAAGGAGUGCCUUAUUUUAUAAGGUUGCAAUAACAAGAUCCAAGCAACUGUUUACCAAAAACACAGGUCUCCGCUAAGUCGUAAGACGAUGUAUGGGGGCUGACGCCUGCCCAGUGCCAGAAGGUUAAAGAAGUUGGUUAGCCUAGCGAAGCUGAUGACUGAAGCCCUGGUGAACGGCGGCCGUAACGAUAACGGUCCUAAGGUAGCGAAAUUCCUUGUCGGGUAAGUUCCGACCCGCACGAAAGGCGUAAUGAUUUGGAUACUGUCUCGGAGAGGGGCUCGGUGAAAUAGACUUGUCUGUGAAGAUGCGGACUACCUGCACCUGGACAGAAAGACCCUAUGAAGCUUUACUGUAACUUGAGAUUGAAAUUGGACUUUAUUUGCGCAGUAUAGGUGGGAGACGUUGAUAAUAUACUUGCGGGAGUAUUGGAGUCAUCAGUGAGAUACCACUCUUGUAAUGUUAGAUUUCUAACUUUGGAUCAUUAUCUGGUCAAAGGACAGUUUCAGGCGGGCAGUUUGACUGGGGCGGUCGCCUCCCAAACGGUAACGGAGGCGCACAAAGGUUUCCUCUGAACGUGUAGAAAUCGUAUCUAGAGUGUAAAGGCAUAAGGAAGCUCGACUGUGAGACCUACAAGUCGAGCAGGGACGAAAGUCGUCUUAGUGAUCUGACGGUGCUGAGUGGAAAGGCCGUCACUCAACGGAUAAAAGUUACUCUAGGAUAACAGGCUGAUCUCCCCCAAGAGUUCACAUCGACGGGGAGGUUUGGCACCUCGAUGUCGGCUCAUCGCAUCCUGGGGCGGUAGUACGUCCCAAGGGUUGGGCUGUUCGCCCAUGAAAGCGGUACGCGAGCUGGGUUCAGAACGUCGUGAGACAGUUCGGUCCAUAUCCGGUGUAGGCGUUAGAAUAUUGAGAGGAGCCUUCUUUAGUACGAGAGGACCGAGAAGGACAUACCUCUGGUGUACCAGUUAUCGUGCCAACGGUAAACGCUGGGUAGCUAUGUAUGGAGAGAAUAACCGCUGAAAGCAUCUAAGUGGGAAGCCCACCUCAAGAUAAGUAUUCUCAUC
rnacentral:rRNA from 1 species